CAUGUGGCCGGAUCCCCGUUCCACUGCGGUUACUGAAUUCUAACCUGGACGCAGCUGAUGCACUCACCAACCUAACUGGGCAGUUUGACUUGGACUUAACUCAGGAGCUGGAGCACACUCCAGGGUGCUGCCAGCCUGGCAGGUGGGUGUCACCUGUAUCAGCCACAGACGGGUAAAGCAGUCUGCUAGGUAAGAAAACCAACAGGAAAAUCCAAGUCCUGCAACUGAGGCUUGUUUAAGCUGGCUUGGCUGCCCUGGCCAGUUAGGUGGCCUUAAUACCACACCCCAGUGCAGGAGGUUAUAGCCCCCAGGACAUGGAAGGAUUUCCAGACAGCCGGGAAGGGCAGCAUAAGCUAUGCAAGGGCACGAGAUACAACCUGGGCAGGGAGCUGGGGGGGACAGCAGUGCGCCAGGCCUGGGAGAGGGAAAGGCAAGGGAGGGAGACGCUGAGGGGUCUACACCGGGGUGCCCUAGGAGGGGAAAGGAUGACAGUACAGACUGAAGGCAACGUGCGAGGAAACAACAGCCUGACACCAAGAUCAUUAAGUUCCCACAUGCCCUUUCCCCUUACCUCUUUGAAAAUGGAACCUCUGAAGUUACAGUGAUUUUACUCUUACUUCUCUCAAUGGUCACUGCACCUCCACCAAGAUUCCCAGCUUUCCCAUUCACUUUGAUUCGUUCUUGCAA